ACUGCAGUGCAAGCACUUGUAGC
rnacentral:miRNA from 1 species